rnacentral:rRNA from 1 species
GACGAACGCUAGCGGCGUGCUUAACACAUGCAAGUCGAGCGGUAAGGCCUUCGGGUACACGAGCGGCGAACGGGUGAGUAACACGUGGGUGAUCUGCCUCGCACUCUGGGAUAAGCCUGGGAAACUGGGUCUAAUACCGGAUAUGACCAGCCUCUGCAUGGGGGUUGGUGGAAAGGUUUACUGGUGCGAGAUGGGCCCGCGGCCUAUCAGCUUGUUGGUGAGGUAACGGCUCACCAAGGCGACGACGGGUAGCCGACCUGAGAGGGUGACCGGCCAC